AUUGACCUCGGAUCAGGUAGGGAUACCCGCUGAACUUAAGCAUAUCAAUAAGCGGAGGAAAAGAAACCAACAGGGAUUGCCUCAGUAACGGCGAGUGAAGCGGCAAAAGCUCAAAUUUGAAAUCUGGCCCCUUUGGGGUCA
rnacentral:rRNA from 1 species